CUUGGCUAUUCAUAUUGUUUCAGAAAAGCCAAUUCACUACAUUUUGACUAAAAAUACCAUAGAUGAUGUUGUUACGCCUGGACAUUUCACAUGAAUCAAAAUUGUAAUUUAACUCCUGCAUCCUAUUCCAAUUUGCUAGAAAGAACAUUUAUUUCUCCUUUGCAGUUAUAAAUAUUUUUGAAAGAUAUAGUCUUAAGAAUUUUUUUUUAAAAAAAACAUUGUCUUGUCCAAAACAAAAAAGGAAUUUCUGUUAUGUAGUCAUUUUUUAUGUUUUACUAGAAUGCACUCACAUACAUUUUGCAAGCAUUUUAUCGUUAGUGAUCUAAUUUGUCUACACUAAAGAAGUAAAGAAUAACAUUGGUGUGUUCUUAUGACAUGUUGAAACUUUAUAUU
rnacentral:misc_RNA from 1 species